rnacentral:misc_RNA from 1 species
AGCAGCCGCGGUAAUUCCAGCUCCAAUAGCGUAUAUUAAAGUUGUUGCAGUUAAAAAGCUCGUAGUUGAAUUUCGGGAUUGGCGCAUCGGUCGUGCCUCACGGGGUAUGAACUGGUGCAGUCAAUUUCUCACCUUCUGGAGAACCGCGAUGUCCUUAAUUGGAUGCCGCGGGGAACCAGGACCUUUACUUUGAAAAAAUUAGAGUGUUUAAAGCAGGCAUUUUUGCUUGAAUACAUUAGCAUGGAAUAAUAAAAUAGGACGGCAUGGUUCUAUUUUGUUGGUUUCUAGGACCACCGUAAUGAUUAAUAGGGAUAGUUGGGGGCAUUAGUAUUCAAUUGUCAGAGGUGAAAUUCUUGGAUUUAUUGAAGACUAACUACUGCGAAAGCAUUUGCCAAGGAUGUUUUCAUUAAUCAAGAACGAAAGUUAGGGGAUCGAAGACGAUCAGAUACCGUCGUAGUCUUAACCAUAAACUAUGCCGACUAGGAAUCAGACGAUGUAAUUUUUUUCAAUGACUCGUUUG